GGGUCAGUAGGUUGGUCGUGCCACCGGUACGUACUGGUCUCACUGAUUCCUCCUUCCUGAAGAACCGUAAUGCCAUUAAUUUGGUGUUGCGGGGAAACAGGACUGUUACUUUGAAAAAAUUAGAGUGUUUAAAGCAAGCUAACGCUCGAAUACAUGAGCAUGGAAUAAUGAAAUAGGACAAUCGAUCCUAUUUUGUUGGUUUCUAGGAUUGACGUA
rnacentral:rRNA from 1 species